rnacentral:rRNA from 1 species
AUUGAACGCUGGCGGCAGGCCUAACACAUGCAAGUCGAACGGUAACAGGAAGAAGCUUGCUUCUUUGCUGACGAGUGGCGGACGGGUGAGUAAUGUCUGGGAAACUGCCUGAUGGAGGGGGAUAACUACUGGAAACGGUAGCUAAUACCGCAUAACGUCGCAAGACCAAAAAGGGGGACCUUCGGGCCUCUUGCCAUCGGAUGCGCCCAGAUGGGAUUAGCUAGUAGGUGGGGUAACAGCACACCUAGGCGACGAUCGCUAGCUGGUCUGAGAGGAUGACCAGCCACACAGGAGCUGAGACACGGUCCAGGCUCCGAGGGGAGGCAGCGGUGGGUACUAUUGCAAGAUGGGGGCAAGCCUGAUGCAGCCGUGGCGGGUGGAUGAAGAAGGCCUGCGGGUUGUAAAGUGCUUUCAGCGUGGAGGAAGGGAGUAGAGUUAAUACCUGUGCUCAUUGACGUUACCCGCAGAAGAGGCACCGGCAACCACCUU